AGAGUUUGAUCAUGGCUCAGAUUGAACGCUGGCGGCAUGCCUUACACAUGCAAGUCGAACGGUAACGCGGGGCAACCUGGCGACGAGUGGCGAACGGGUGAGUAAAGCAUCGGAACGUGCCCAGUCGUGGGGGAUAACGUAGCGAAAGCUACGCUAAUACCGCAUACGAUCUAUGGAUGAAAGCGGGGGAUCGCAAGACCUCGCGCGAUUGGAGCGGCCGAUAUCAGAUUAGGUAGUUGGUGGGGUAAAGGCCCACCAAGCCGACGAUCUGUGGCUGGUCUGAGAGGACGACCAGCCACACUGGGACUGAGACACGGCCCAGACUCCUACGGGAGGCAGCAGUGGGGAAUUUUGGACAAUGGGCGCAAGCCUGAUCCAGCAAUGCCGCGUGCAGGAUGAAGGCCUUCGGGUUGUAAACUGCUUUUGUACGGAACGAAACAGCUCUUUCUAAUACAGAGGGCGAAUGACGGUACCGUAAGAAUAAGCACCGGCUAACUACGUG
rnacentral:rRNA from 1 species